rnacentral:rRNA from 1 species
GAUGAACGCUGGCGGCGUGCCUAAUACAUGCAAGUCGAGCGAACAGACGAGGAGCUUGCUCCUCUGACGUUAGCGGCGGACGGGUGAGUAACACGUGGAUAACCUACCUAUAAGACUGGGAUAACUUCGGGAAACCGGAGCUAAUACCGGAUAAUAUAUUGAACCGCAUGGUUCAAUAGUGAAAGACGGCUUUGCUGUCACUUAUAGAUGGAUCCGCGCCGGAUUAGCUAGUUGGUAAGGUCACGGCCUACCAAGGCAACGAUGCGUAGCCGAGCUGAGAGGGUGAUCGGCCACACUGGAACUGAGACACGGUCCAGACUCCUACGGGAGGCAGCAGUAGGGAAUCUUCCGCAAUGGGCGAAAGCUUGACGGAGCAACGCCGCGUGAGUGAUGAAGGCCUUCGGAUCGUAAAGCUCUGUUAUUAGGGAAGAACAAAUGUGUAAGUAACUAUGGCCGUCUUGACGGUACCUAAUCAGAAAGCCACGGCUAACUACGUG